GACGAACGCUGGCGGCGUGCUUAACACAUGCAAGUCGAACGGAAAGGCCUUUUCGGAGGUACUCGAGUGGCGAACGGGUGAGUAACACGUGGGUGAUCUGCCCUGCACUCUGGGAUAAGCCUGGGAAACUGGGUCUAAUACCGGAUAGGACCGCACUUUAGUGUGUGUGGUGGAAAGUUUUUUCGGUGUAGGAUGAGCCCGCGGCCUAUCAGCUUGUUGGUGGGGUAAUGGCCUACCAAGGCGGCGACGGGUAGCCGGACUGAGAGGUUGGUCGGCCACAUUGGGACUGAGAUACGGCCCAGACUCCUACGGGAGGCAGCAGUGGGGAAUAUUGCACAAUGGGCGCAAGCCUGAUGCAGCGACGCCGCGGGGGGGAUGACGGCCUUCGGGUUGUAAACUCCUUUCGCCAGGGACGAAGCGUUUUGUGACGGUACCUGGAGAAGAAGCACCGGCUAACUACGUG
rnacentral:rRNA from 1 species